UACAGAGGUCCCGAGCGUUGUUCGGAUUCAUUGGGCGUAAAGGGUGCGUAGGCGGCGGGGCAAGUCUGAUGUGAAAUCCCGGGGCUCAACCCCGGAACUGCAUUGGAUACUGCCUUGCUAGAGUACUGGAGAGGGAACUGGAAUUUACGGUGUAGCAGUGAAAUGCGUAGAGAUCGUAAGGAAGGCCAGUGGCGAAGGCGAGUUCCUGGACAGUUACUGACGCUGAGGCACGAAGGCCAGGGGGAGCAAACGGGG
rnacentral:rRNA from 1 species